UUUGUGUGCGAUGGAACUGCAGAACAGUGCUCAGCCUAAGGAGGAAGGGCUCAGCUGAAGUGAUGUCUCAAAUUUUUUUAGACACUUGGGAACAGAAGAGAAGGAGAUAGAAGACAGGAGCAUAGCUGCCUCAUUACUCUUGG